UAUCCGUUAUGGAAAAUUCAUCACUAAUACUAUGAUAUUUAUAAUAUUAUAGAAAUGGUGUGCAAUUUUUCCAUAUAAGGACAUUGUAAUCUGUUAAUGUAUUAAAUAUUUAUUAAAAGAUCUUAUACAUAAGUUUAUUCAAAUUAGUUAUUUUCGGAUUUCUAACAUAGAAUAAAUGUAUUUGAUUUAAUAAAUCAUUGACAGAUUUAAUUAUAAUAUAGUGCUUAAAUUUUGAAAGAAAUUUUACAAUAAUAUGAUAAUUCAAUUUGUUAUAUUUAUUGUAUGCACUUAUAUGAUUAACAAUGCGAUAGAUUCAGGAUACCUUCGGGACCCGUCUUGAAACACGGACCAAGGAGUCUAACAUAUGUGCAAGUCAUUGGGUAUUUUUAAUAAAACCCAAUGGCAUAAUUAACUUAACUGUUUUUUAAAUGGGAUUAGUUUAUAUUUUAUUAUGAAAUAUUAAUUCAAUCCCGGGGCGUUCUAUAUAGUUAUGCAUAAUGAUAUUUAUAUUAUUUAUGUCUCUA
rnacentral:rRNA from 1 species